GACAGAGGGUGCAAACGUUGUUCGGAAUUACUGGGCGUAAAGCGCGUGUAGGCGGCUAUGUAAGUCGGGCGUGAAAUCCCACGGCUCAACCGUGGAAGUGCACUCGAAACUGCGUAGCUAGAGUCCUGGAGAGGAAGGUGGAAUGCUUGGUGUAGAGGUGAAAUUCGUAGAUAUCAAGCGGAACACCGGUGGCGAAGGCGGCCUUCUGGACAGUGACUGACGCUGAGACGCGAAAGCGUGGGGAGCAAACGGG
rnacentral:rRNA from 1 species